CCCUUAGAUGUUCUGGGCUGUACGCGCGCUACACUGACGCACGCAACAGGUGCCUGCUCCGAGAGGACUGGGUAAUCAUUUGAGUGUGCGUCGUGAUGGGGAUAGAAUAUUGUAAUUAUUACUCUUCAACGAGGAAUUCCUAGUAAGCGCAAGUCAGCAGCUUGCGCUGAUUACGUCCCUGCCCUUUGUACACACCGCCCGUCGCUCCUACCGAUGGGUGAUCCGGUGAAUGAUUCGGACUUCAGCGGCUCCUCUGGGGUGCGCCGGAGAAAGUUUUGUGAACCUUAUCACUUGGAGGAAGGAGAAGUCGUAACA
rnacentral:rRNA from 1 species